UACCUACGGGCGGCUGCAGUGGGGAAUAUUGGACAAUGGGCGGAAGCCUGAUCCAGCCAUGCCGCGUGUGUGAAGAAGGCCUUUUGGUUGUAAAGCACUUUAAGCGAGGAGGAGGCUACUCUAGUUAAUACCUAGAGAUAGUGGACGUUACUCGCAGAAUAAGCACCGGCUAACUCUGUGCCAGCAGCCGCGGUAAUACAGAGGGUGCGAGCGUUAAUCGGAUUUACUGGGCGUAAAGCGUGCGUAGGCGGCUGAUUAAGUCGGAUGUGAAAUCCCUGAGCUUAACUUAGGAAUUGCAUUCGAUACUGGUCAGCUAGAGUAUGGGAGAGGAUGGUAGAAUUCCAGGUGUAGCGGUGAAAUGCGUAGAGAUCUGGAGGAAUACCGAUGGCGAAGGCAGCCAUCUGGCCUAAUACUGACGCUGAGGUACGAAAGCAUGGGGAGCAAACAGGAUUAGAUACCCGAGUAGUC
rnacentral:rRNA from 1 species